GGACUCGAGGCCCAGUGGUGAGGGGCAGCCACCACGCUGUGACUGCAAUGCAUCCACACAUGCUGAGGACACCAAGAAGAAAUAGAGGAGGAGGCUGGCCCUCAUCCAAGAUGGCAUCUUGGAGCUGCUUGGACCUUCAGGAGCGGCCACUACCAGAUGCCCCUUUAGACCAAGGAAUUUUGAAGGUACUUCCAGCUCUAAACCUUUAGGAUUCUAGCCCCUCCCUACCUCCCUUCCCAGGCAAAGCCAUCACUCCCCAGGGGGAAAGAGAAUGACUCAGACAGAACAGUGGCUGAAGUUAAGCUUCAUUUCCAAGUCCAGAGAGAAUGAUCAAAGGAGCCUCAUCAGCGGGCAACUCAGCCUCAUGCAGGGCACUGAGAAGCCCCUUUCAGUCCACCCCCACCAGAAAGGGGCCUCUGUUCCUCAAACCUCCUAAAUAGUCGGGAAACAGCCUCUGGC
rnacentral:lncRNA from 1 species